UGUAUGGGGAAUACAGAAGUAUGAACCAUACCUGUAUGGUAGAGAGUUCGUACUUCAGACUGACCAUCAAGCCCUGACGUAUCUUCAUCGCGCAAAACAGACAAACGCGCGGAUCAUGCGCUGGGCACUCACUCUUCAGCCCUAUCGCUUCAGAGUUGAGAGUCUUAAAAGUUCUCAGAAUGUGGGCGCUGACUUCCUAAGUCGAGCUGAGUUCAACGAAUAAACCCCUGCAUCGCUUGAGUCCAUAUUUGAAAUUGUUCAGAAUGUUUAAGAAUGUUUUCUCAUUCCAAAAAAAAUUAUGCUUACACAAUUUUUUUUUUAUCUAAGGAGGGAGGAAAUUGUCAGAAAACUACCCUUCUUUGUAACCAAAUACUUUUUCUUCAUUUCAGAUAUACAGGAGCUGCAAUUCGCUUUUCUUUGUAAUGCAAAUAAGUUGCUAGAGCAGGAGUGUGAGUGGUAGUGAGAGUGACUCUAGGAUGGUUGAGCGGAUUUGAAUGAGUGUGUACAAGUGAAUGGGUUGUAUGUGAGGGGUUUCUCAGUUUGUCUCACUGCUAAUUGAGGAAGCCAUUUAGGUGGUCAUAGAGGAAAGACUUCUAGCAUGUCCAUUCCUUAUCAGCCAUGUUACUGAAUUUAUUUUGAAGCCAAGCACUACCAAAGCUGAAUUGUGGCUCCUCCCUUUGGGGACUAGGACAGAG